UUUUCCACUGGCUGUUGUCAAAAUCAAUCCCGUUAACGGGAUCCUGUCUCGAAGGGGUCCUCAACGGGUUAAUAAUUUACUCAAUAGAAAAAAAGCACAGCUCUGGAUAUUGUCUAUUGCCUCUACAAUAUUUCUAUAAUUUCAGCCCAAGCAGCAGAACUUUCUGACUUCAAGAACAGAGUGACAACCAGCGAGAGUCAGGUAGCUGAACUGAUUAAAGAAAAUGCAGCCCUGGACACCAGAGUGACAGCCAGCGACAGGCAGGUGGCAGAACUGAAGAAAGAGAAUGCAGCCCUGGAGGCCAGAGUGACAGCCAGUGAAAGCCAGGUGGCAGAACUGAAGGGAAAGAACGCAGCCCUGGAGGCAAGAUUGAGUGUUGCUGAGAUACAGGUGGAGGAACUGAGGCUAGAAGACAGUUGGCCUUUUCUGUUGGUUUGACGGACUCAGGUAUGUGGGACCCUUUCAAACUGAGAUCACGCUGGUCUAUGAAAAAGUCUUCACCAACAUCGGCAACGGUUACGACCCAAACUCAGGUAUGUUCUCAGCACCAGUGAGAGGGGUCUACUACUUCACAUUCACCUCCAUGGGCCGAGAGCCUGGACAGAAAAUGGGUGUUUACUUGGUCAAAAAUGGAGAGCAAAUGAUAUACAACGUCCAGGACAACUUCCAUGGUG